GCACAAGCGGUGGAGCAUGUGGUUUAAUUCGACGCAACGCGAAGAACCUUACCAGGGCUUGACAUCCCCUGACCGCGUAUGAAAGUACGUUUUCACCCUCGGGUGACAGGGAGACAGGUGGUGCAUGGUUGUCGUCAGCUCGUGUCGUGAGAUGUUGGGUUAAGUCCCGCAACGAGCGCAACCCCUACGUUUAGUUGCUAACGCGUGAAGGCGAGCACUCUAGACGAACUGCCGUUGACAAAACGGAGGAAGGUGGGAUGACGUCAAAUCAUCAUGCCCCUUAUGUUCUGGGCUACACACGUGCUACAAUGGCCGGUACAGACGGACGCAAAGCCGCGAGGUGGAGCAAAUCCUAAAAAGCCGGUCUCAGUUCGGAUUGCAGCCUGCAAUUCGCCUGCAUGAAGUCGGAAUCGCUAGUAAUCGCGGAUCAGCUACGCCGCGGUGAAUACGUUCUCGGGCCUU
rnacentral:rRNA from 1 species